rnacentral:piRNA from 2 species
UCUGAGCCUUAGCCACAUCCCACUUGC